rnacentral:lncRNA from 1 species
AAAAGAAUAUCAUUGUUUGGUGUAUUUUCUCUGGCACUACUGAUGUAUCUGUGUGUGGUAUUAUGAUGUCCAGGUCUUCUUCCUGAACUUCUGCAAAUUUAGCAGUCUUCAGAAGUCCUAAGGUGCCAGGGUUUGAUUUUACCAUGCACUUGACAUUCCCUACAGAGUCUUUUCUAUGCCAGGCUUUGUAGUUGGGUCCUGAGAGUAAGACCUUGUCCUCAAAAAUUUACCUGUAUUGAUAUCACAUGUAAACCUUUAUGCUUGGUCAUCUUUAUAUGGAUGCUAUGCAAAGAAAGCUAAAACAUCCUCAUAAUCUACUGGAGUUUACUCAGCAUCCAAAAUAUCCCUGUGUAAAAGACUUUUUUAAAAAAUCAGCUACUUCUGUAAUUGAAGUAGAGGACUCUGUCUGAGAGUUAAGCUUUCUUUCUACUUAAAUGAGAUGAUUUGGGCCUGAGAACUUAAGAGCCACUGGAGAGAAAUUUUCUUUUUAAACUAUAGGUGAGCAAUCUGUUUAUUAAAGUUAACAUUUUGUUUCCUUCUGCAGAAGAGGGCGUUGUUAUAAUGCAACUAGAGCUUAUCUGCAGGUGCUCAGGCAGCUAAUUUUAGACCAUUCAUUAAGUUCUGGUAAACUCCAGCUGUCUUAACUGUCCUGAGACAUGGGCCUCUAGCCCAUUGUUCAAAGUCUCAGAAGCCCAGGCUCAGAGUGAAACUUUGACUUUAGUUCUGUUCUGUAGCCUGUGGUUAAGGGUUUGCCUUCUGUCAUCCAUGAGUAAGGUCAGAUGCUGUUGUCCCAUGUUUAUUAUCUCUGUGUUCUGAGUUCACUGCUCAGGUGGGACAGACAAUGCCAGUCAGUGUAAAAAGGAGUCAAUGUGUCAUUCUACAAAUAUGGAUAAAAACAGUUUAAACUCAGAUGUUUUUUAAACGUUUUAUGUUCUUUAUAAGAAAUUGUAACUUCUGUGCAUAGAGCAUAAAUUAGAGCACAAUGACUCUUCUGACCUAAGUUCAGAAAAUUCAUUUACCAGGAUAUCAAGAGGGCACAUCCUCUCAAAGGACUAAGGUUCCAACCUCUUAAAGGUACAGGUCCUCUUAAUAUCACUACUCUACGAAACACACCUUCAACAUGUAGGUCUUUGGAUGAGAUUCGGUGUCUAAAUCAUCACACAGACUAAUUCCCCUUCAGUUCUUUUUUCUUAGAAUAUGAUUUAUGCAAACAAAGAUGUUACCAAACUUAAAAUGAGAUGAACAGAUGAGGUGAACAAACUUGUUAUAAUCUUACAAGAUAGACUCCCAAUAUGAAGUCUGUAGUUGAAAAAGUAGCACUCUAGAAUCUGGAUGAAUUCAUAUUAAGACAUUCUGUCCUUUCCCAGAGUCAUAGGCAGAAUAAAUCAGAGAGCACUCAUUCCCACCCCUAAUCACAGUGUCUCCUGACUAAAUGGCAAAUUUGAAAAACAAAGAAUGCUUGAAUGAAAAUAUAAACAUUAAAAGUCAAAUCAUCUGAGUUUAAAAGUUUUAUGAAUUUAGAAAGUUUGUUGUUGUUAAAAUAUAUUUUACUAGGAGAGAUUAAACUAAUUCGUGUACUGGUACUUAAAUUUAAAGCCUGUGUCUAUUGCCUUUGGAAUUUUAAUGCCUGAAGGACUCUGUAGCUGGGUUCCCUAAGACACAGAUUCUAGUGGUUGGAGGUGGUUUUGUGAAAGGAGAGAAUUUUCUCAACAAGCUAGAACAUGCAUUUCUCUUCCCUAAGUAGUG